UUAAGCGACUAAGCGUACACGGUGGAUGCCCUGGCAGUCAGAGGCGAUGAAGGGCGUGCUAAUCUGCGAUAAGCGCCGGUAAGGUGAUAUGAACCGUUAUAACCGGCGAUACCCGAAUGGGGAAACCCAGUGUGACUCGUCACACUAUCAUUAACUGAAUCCAUAGGUUAAUGAGGCGAACCGGGGGAACUGAAACAUCUAAGUACCCCGAGGAAAAGAAAUCAACCGAGAUUCCCCCAGUAGCGGCGAGCGAACGGGGAGGAGCCCAGAGCCUGAAUCAGCAUGUGUGUUAGUGGAAGCGUCUGGAAAGGCGCGCGAUACAGGGUGACAGCCCCGUACACAAAAGCGCAUGUGCUGUGAGCUCGAUGAGUAGGGCGGGACACGUGGUAUCCUGUCUGAAUAUGGGGGGACCAUCCUCCAAGGCUAAAUACUCCUGACUGACCGAUAGUGAACCAGUACCGUGAGGGAAAGGCGAAAAGAACCCCGGCGAGGGGAGUGAAAAAGAACCUGAAACCGUGUACGUACAAGCAGUGGGAGCCCCACCACCAAAGCNGCUUUGGGGUGGGGUGACUGCGUACCUUUUGUAUAAUGGGUCAGCGACUUAUAUUCUGUAGCAAGGUUAACCGAAUAGGGGAGCCGGAGGGAAACCGAGUCUUAAUUGGGCGUUAAGUUGCAGGGUAUAGACCCGAAACCCGGUGAUCUAGCCAUGGGCAGGUUGAAGGUUGGGUAACACUAACUGGAGGACCGAACCGACUAAUGUUGAAAAAUUAGCGGAUGACCUGUGGCUGGGGGUGAAAGGCCAAUCAAACCGGGAGAUAGCUGGUUCUCCCCGAAAGCUAUUUAGGUAGCGCCUCGUGAAUUCAUCUCCGGGGGUAGAGCACUGUUUCGGCUAGGGGGCCAUCCCGGCUUACCAACCCGAUGCAAACUGCGAAUACCGGAGAAUGUUAUCACGGGAGACACACGGCGGGUGCUAACGUCCGUCGUGAAGAGGGAAACAACCCAGACCGCCAGCUAAGGUCCCAAAGUCAUGGUUAAGUGGGAAACGAUGUGGGAAGGCCCAGACAGCCAGGAUGUUGGCUUAGAAGCAGCCAUCAUUUAAAGAAAGCGUAAUAGCUCACUGGUCGAGUCGGCCUGCGCGGAAGAUGUAACGGGGCUAAACCAUGCACCGAAGCUGCGGCAGCGACGCUUAUGCGUUGUUGGGUAGGGGAGCGUUCUGUAAGCCUGUGAAGGUGGCCUGUGAGGGUUGCUGGAGGUAUCAGAAGUGCGAAUGCUGACAUAAGUAACGAUAAAGCGGGUGAAAAGCCCGCUCGCCGGAAGACCAAGGGUUCCUGUCCAACGUUAAUCGGGGCAGGGUGAGUCGACCCCUAAGGCGAGGCCGAAAGGCGUAGUCGAUGGGAAACGGGUUAAUAUUCCCGUACUUGGUGUUACUGCGAAGGGGGGACGGAGAAGGCUAUGUUGGCCGGGCGACGGUUGUCCCGGUUUAAGCGUGUAGGUGUGUGUUCCAGGUAAAUCCGGUUCACUUUAACACUGAGGCGUGACGACGAGGCACUACGGUGCUGAAGCAACAAAUGCCCUGCUUCCAGGAAAAGCCUCUAAGCAUCAGGUAACAUCAAAUCGUACCCCAAACCGACACAGGUGGUCAGGUAGAGAAUACCAAGGCGCUUGAGAGAACUCGGGUGAAGGAACUAGGCAAAAUGGUGCCGUAACUUCGGGAGAAGGCACGCUGACACGUAGGUGAAGUGAUUUACUCAUGGAGCUGAAGUCAGUCGAAGAUACCAGCUGGCUGCAACUGUUUAUUAAAAACACAGCACUGUGCAAACACGAAAGUGGACGUAUACGGUGUGACGCCUGCCCGGUGCCGGAAGGUUAAUUGAUGGGGUCAGCGCAAGCGAAGCUCCUGAUCGAAGCCCCGGUAAACGGCGGCCGUAACUAUAACGGUCCUAAGGUAGCGAAAUUCCUUGUCGGGUAAGUUCCGACCUGCACGAAUGGCGUAAUGAUGGCCAGGCUGUCUCCACCCGAGACUCAGUGAAAUUGAACUCGCUGUGAAGAUGCAGUGUACCCGCGGCAAGACGGAAAGACCCCGUGAACCUUUACUAUAGCUUGACACUGAACAUUGAGCCUUGAUGUGUAGGAUAGGUGGGAGGCUUUGAAGUGUGGACGCCAGUCUGCAUGGAGCCGACCUUGAAAUACCACCCUUUAAUGUUUGAUGUUCUAACGUGGACCCGUAAUCCGGGUUGCGGACAGUGUCUGGUGGGUAGUUUGACUGGGGCGGUCUCCUCCUAAAGAGUAACGGAGGAGCACGAAGGUUGGCUAAUCCUGGUCGGACAUCAGGAGGUUAGUGCAAUGGCAUAAGCCAGCUUGACUGCGAGCGUGACGGCGCGAGCAGGUGCGAAAGCAGGUCAUAGUGAUCCGGUGGUUCUGAAUGGAAGGGCCAUCGCUCAACGGAUAAAAGGUACUCCGGGGAUAACAGGCUGAUACCGCCCAAGAGUUCAUAUCGACGGCGGUGUUUGGCACCUCGAUGUCGGCUCAUCACAUCCUGGGGCUGAAGUAGGUCCCAAGGGUAUGGCUGUUCGCCAUUUAAAGUGGUACGCGAGCUGGGUUUAGAACGUCGUGAGACAGUUCGGUCCCUAUCUGCCGUGGGCGCUGGAGAACUGAGGGGGGCUGCUCCUAGUACGAGAGGACCGGAGUGGACGCAUCACUGGUGUUCGGGUUGUCAUGCCAAUGGCACUGCCCGGUAGCUAAAUGCGGAAGAGAUAAGUGCUGAAAGCAUCUAAGCACGAAACUUGCCCCGAGAUGAGUUCUCCCUGAGACUUAGAGUCUCCUGAAGGAACGUUGAAGACGACGACGUUGAUAGGCCGGGUGUGUAAGCGCAGCGAUGCGUUGAGCUAACCGGUACUAAUGAACCGUGAGGCUUAACCUU
rnacentral:rRNA from 1 species